UACGUAGGGUGCAAGCGUUAAUCGGAAUUACUGGGCGUAAAGCGUGCGCAGGCGGUGAUGUAAGACAGGUGUGAAAUCCCCGGGCUUAACCUGGGAAUUGCGAUGGAGACUGCAAGGCUAGAAUCUGGCAGAGGGGGUAGAAUUCACGUGUAGCAGUGAAAUGCGUAGAGAUGUGGAGGAACACCGAUGGCGAAGGCAGCCCCCUGGGUCAAGAUUGACGCUCAUG
rnacentral:rRNA from 1 species